CAGCAUUUUUCCCAGUGUAGUAGCUCUGCUCAAUAACCAAAAUUAUGUAGCCUCCUUUUGCUUUGGUAUUUUAUUUAAUUCACAUGUCUAAUCGAUAAUGUUUUAUUAUUAAUGUUUUAUGUGUCUUUCCUAACUGUCACUG